rnacentral:piRNA from 1 species
UUUUGGGCUUUUCUGUUAUUAAUGGG